CAAGUUAUUACACAUUUAUUAUAAAUGAAAUGACAAGAGGAAGACAUAAAAAAUGCAAGCUUACUACACAGACAUGAGCUGCUCACAAACACUCAGGCUUAUGCAUCUGGAAGUUUCCUUUAUGGGAAAAAGCUUUAUUUGAAGAUUUCCAGGACUCCUGGGUUUCAGCUCCAUAAAAUCCAACAAAACAGCUGUUGUUGUGGUAUUUUGGGUUAUUCCCACUUGAAGCCUCAGCUGAGACUGGAGUGGAAUAGUUGCACAAUAGAGCAGGAAUGAGAGCACACAGAUGCAAGGCAUCUGACAGCAUGUUCAUGUUGUUCUGCUGCAGUCGGCUGCAUCACCCAGGAGAGCAGGCUGGCUGGUGGCCCCAUGGCCACUGCGGUCACCAGGUGUCCCUUCCAAAUAGCUCUUCCCCCUGGAACGAGUGCAGACAUUACAUGCUUCACACUCUUUCCUUUAGACUCAGCACAAGCCCUUAGAAGAGUGGUGCGUCUCAAGCAAUUUCUGUGGUUUCUUUUGCAAAGGACAGCCUGUCCCCAGGUCCAGCCAGAUCCCCGCAGAUGUUUAUUCAAACUGCCAAACUUUCAGAGGUUUGCCCAUUUAAUUUCUAGUUAGUGAGCUGAAGUCAUUUGCAGAACACCAUGGUAACAGAAGAAAACACUGCUGUGUCAUUUUAUGGUAAGGAGAAGGCUGAGAAGAUGGGUUUGAAAGUCUCAGUGUCUCAGUAGUCCUCUUCCCUCCGUCUUCUUCCAUUUCUCACGACCCCUCAGGAAGUGAUGUUUCUGUGUCAGUUUCUAGCCAGCCCGAAGGAACACAGUCUGAGCCACAUCACAAAUCUAAGACAAGCAUCGCUCAGAUGUUUGACUUGAUGCUGCUUGGCUUUCAACUUCUUGAAUGUUUAAGGGAAGAAAGAUGAGU
rnacentral:lncRNA from 7 species